rnacentral:rRNA from 1 species
ACGGGAGGCAGCAGUGGGGAAUUUUGGACAAUGGGGGCAACCCUGAUCCAGCAAUGCCGCGUGUGUGAAGAAGGCCUUCGGGUUGUAAAGCACUUUUGUCCGGAAAGAAAUCCUUUGGGUUAAUACCUCGGAGGGAUGACGGUACCGGAAGAAUAAGCACCGGCUAACUACGUGCCAGCAGCCGCGGUAAUACGUAGGGUGCGAGCGUUAAUCGGAAUUACUGGGCGUAAAGCGUGCGCAGGCGGUUUUGUAAGACAGGCGUGAAAUCCCCGAGCUCAACUUGGGAAUGGCGCUUGUGACUGCAAGGCUAGAGUAUGUCAGAGGGGGGUAGAAUUCCACGUGUAGCAGUGAAAUGCGUAGAGAUGUGGAGGAAUACCGAUGGCGAAGGCAGCCCCCUGGGACGUCACUGACGCUCAUGCACGAAAGCGUGGGGAGCAAACAGGAUUAGAUACCCUGGUAGUCCACGCCCUAAACGAUGUCAACUAGUUGUUGGGGAUUCAUUUCUUCAGUAACGUAGCUAACGCGUGAAGUUGACCGCCUGGGGAGUACGGUCGCAAGAUUAAAACUCAAAGGAAUUGACGGGGACCCGCACAAGCGGUGGAUGAUGUGGAUUAAUUCGAUGCAACGCGAAAAACCUUACCUACCCUUGACAUGCCACUAACGAAGCAGAGAUGCAUUAGGUGCCCGAAAGGGAAAGUGGACACAGGUGCUGCAUGGCU